AGACACCCCGGGCAGGCAGCGGAGGCCGGCCCUGCUGAGCGACCCCCGUUAGCGACGACCCUCAGGGGCUCAGGCUCCACGCCCAUUAACUGGGUAUCAGUCCCUUCCAUCCCGGGGAGCCGAGCUCCUGGGAAGCAGCGCCUGGGGGCGCCGGCGACCGGCUGGGGCCGCCUCCCUGCUCCCCCGCCCUGGGCCCGAUCGCCGGGCGCGAGGCGUGCAGGGCGCGGCGCGGGCCCGGGCGCCCAGUUCAGCGGAAAGGAAUGCCUUGCUCGGCGGGGGAGGCCGUGGCCCCGAGGCCGUGUCCACCCCCGCCCGCCCCGGGCCUCAUUUACUGCGGCUCUGAAGCCCGGCCCGUUUCGCCCGCCGGGCCCCGCGGGGUGACUCCCCCCACGAUUGCGGUCCCCCGCCCUCCGCCCGGCCGCCGCUGGCGGACCCCAAAGUCGGGGCGAGUCUCCAAACCGGGGAGCCGGCCCCGCCCCCACGCCGCGGCGGCGCCCUCCCUUCCCCCUCCCCGCCGCCCGCCUCUCCCCCUCCCCCCUCCAUAACUCAAAAGCCUGUCAAGCUGGUUCCAGACUCCUGGCGCCGGGCUCCGCUCCAGGAAAGAAAAAAAGGAAAGAGAAAAAGGGAAAAAGCCGGCGCGAGGGAGCGAGAGAGGCCCGCGGAGCAAAACCGUGCGCCCCGGCACGCACAGCCCCGCGGCCCCCGACCCCCCACGCCCCUAACCCUAACGGGGAUCCCAGUCCUAGGGACACCGGGCGCGUGCGCGACCCCAAUCAGUUAUUUAUGGGCGAAUUAAUUAUGUAGCUGCCAUGGGCGGGGGGGCCGGCAGGGGCCAUGCGACGCGGAGACCACCCGGCCGCGGUGGCGGCUCUCCUGCCGGGCCUCGGGGUCGGGAGGCGUCCCCACGCCGCCCGGGGAGGAUCCCGUUGUGAGAAAGCUGCCUCGGGGUGGGGUCCGGGAGGAGCGCGGGGGAACCUGAGGAAGCGGGAGAGACGGCUCGGAGACCUCCCAAUUAGACUGGGAGGGGAGAGGGGGGCGGGCGACGGAGCUGGAAAGAGCGGGCCGCGGAGACCGGGGCGUGGGAAGAGCCUGGCCUAGGCAUUUCUUCCCUUCCUUCCUUCCUUCAUCCCCAUCCUUACUGCGAGCCCACUACGUGCCACUGCGCCCACAGCAGAGGGCGGUAUUAGGGAGGGGUUAGGAGCAGGAAGGAAUUUCGAGGUACAGCUGGGUCCAAAUCCGGAUUUGUAUCCUAUACUCCCCUGCUGUGUGGCCUUAGGCAACGGCUUGCCCUCUCGGAGCCUCCACUUCCUCAUCUGCCAGUGGUCUUCAGGACUUGGGAGAUGGGGCGCUUGGGCAGAGAGUUUGUGGGGGCGCGGUCGAAGGGAGGUCCUGUCCUUGGGAAACUUUACAUAGAGGGGAACAUGCCCAGUCCCCCAGUAUUCCCCAUCUCGAAGCCCCGACUUUGGGUCUCAUAUAAUCUGCCUCUCCCCGGGGCCCACACAUUUGAAGGUCGUUAUUAAAACCACACCACCCCCAAGGCCACUGCUCAGGACGCUCACCCCUAGCUGGCUUCUCACCAGCCUGGCCCUGCAGAAGGUCGUGCAUAUGGCAGCCAGAGGGGCUCAAUCUAGUCCUUUUACUCCCCACCUCCGCUGCCUCCCCCGACUCUGCCCUUCACAUCCCCACCUGGGUUCUCCUUCCAACCUGCUUCUAGUCUGGGCUAGGGAGAUUGGAGCCCUGAGGCCAUGGGGGCUACGGGGCAGUGAGAACAGGGGUGGGGGCUCAGCUGGCCCUCCCUGGACAAGUGUCCCCCUUAUCUGGAGUGUCAAGGCGUUCUACUUCCAAGACUCAGAAGUGAAGGAGGCUUCCGUUUGCGACCCAGGAUUGCCUAGGGGUUUGCCUGUCUUCUUUCACCAAAACUUGCAAUAACUCUGUUAGGUGAAUGGGGCAGAUCCAGGUUUUAUGGGGCCUGAAGGUUUUACAAUCCUGGGGACCCACUUGAAGAAGAAUAGUGCAAAGUUAUGAAUAGGCGGUUAAGCUCAGGGCCUUGGUAAAUGACAGUCCCAGGAGCUAAAGCUUCAUUAGCCCCUCGGUAACUCACCUCUGUAGAUGGACAACACAACUGUCAUCCCUUUGCAGAGGUGGAAACAAAGCUUAGGCUGGCCCAAGGUCACAACAGGUAGAAAGGACAAGCUGGGAUCAAACCCAGGUCCCACCCCACAGGCAGCACCCUGAACUAACUGCCUCAGUAGGAAUGCCACCUUCCAUAUCAUCUACCCCAUGCCACAUCUCACCUGUCCCCACCAGUGCCCAGCCCAGGCAGGGUCAGUCAGAACAGCCUUUGCUUCCAGAACAGUCUGUGUCCCUCCCUCCAGAGGCCUCCAUGUCCCAAGGCUCAAGCCUCAGAGAUACUGUCUUGUGACAACACUCACAGAUCUAGUAAGUAGGUCUCUUCUAAACUUUUGAUUCCAGCAAUGGUAACCUGCUCACUCCAGAACUCCAGCUCCCCCGUCCACCUGGAGGGAGCGCACCCCUGUUCCCCGGUGGGCUCCCUGGUGUUCGGGGCUGGAUCUGUUUUAUUUGGCUCAGUAUUCCCCGCUCUUGACGCAGUACAGACAUACAGCCGACAGAGUGACUGUAGCAGUAACAUCUAUUCCCAACCUCGUGGAACAGGAUGUUGUUAAACUGCGGAUUCCCGGGCCCCCCUCAGAUUCUACUGAAUCAGACUCUCUGUGCACAGGGCCGGGGACUUGGCAUUUUACAAGCUCUUUUGGGUGCAUCUUAACCAUAGUAAAGUUCGAGACCACGGACCUACGGCCAGAAAGGACCAAAUGGUUGUGUCUAGACCAAGGCCUUCUCACCAGGGGGAGUUAUCUCCCCUAAAUCCGACCGAUUUCACCAGUUCCCCAGGCUCUUCUGGCUGAGAUCAAAUUAUUUCACUUAUCAGGCCAGGCACAGUGGGUCAUGCCUGUAAUUCCAGCACUUUGGGAGGCUGAGGUGGGUGUGUCACUUGAGGUCAGGAGUUCAAGACUAGUCUGGCCAACAUGGCAAAACCCCGUCUCUACUAAAAACACAAAAAUUAGCUGGGUGUGGUGGUGGGCGCCUGUAAUCCCAGCUACUCAGGAGGCUGAGGCAUGAGAAUCGCUUGAACCCGGGAGGUGGAGGUUGCAGUGAGCCAAGGUCGUGCCACUGCACCCCAGCCUGGGUGACAGAGCAAGACUCAAAAACAGCAACAAAAAUUAUUUCAUGUAUCAAAGACCUACUGCCUGCCCGGGACUGGGUCUGAGGCCUUAGAGAAUUGACCUCAUAGGAUACUCGCAAAAGCUCUGAGAAGUAGGGAGAAUUAUUGUCCCCAUUUUACAGAUGGAAUCUGAGGCCUGGAGAAGCAAAGUGGCUUUGUGGAAGGGAUACGGUGCUGGGGAAUGAGGAGGCUGGGAUGGGAGCUGAACUCACACCCUUAACUCCUUCCUUCCACUGCCCACAAGGCCACUGAUCCGAGGGCUGUAACUCGCAAGGGUCCUUCAGUAACAUCCGGAGAUGAGAGUUUACACACCAGCCUGUGAGCGGCUUUGAGAAAUUAAACACGCUACAGAGUCACUACAGGGACCUCAUGCUAAGACGCGCAACAAAAUUAGGCGACAGGCCCCAAAGAAAUCUAAUCAAGUAGGCCUCUUCUCCUCCGUAUCUUUGGAGUCGGUGUUCAGGGGAAUGUGUGUUUGCGGAAGGAUUUGAUGUAUUUGCUUCAGGCAAAUCUUUGCCUUUUUCUCUGCCUGCAGUUCUGUGCUAGGCAGCAAGAAAGCUCCACAGCUGGUGGCCAGUGCUGCAGGCCAGCGUGGCUCCCUGGGCUUCUCUGUAGGGCUGUGUUAUCACGCUUCCCCGGGUCCGGUGCUCUGUGCAAACGUAGCCUCUUUCCUGCUCCAGGAUGGGCAAGGCACAGGGGAGGUUUCAGGUGGAGAGAAAUUGAUUUAGUGGCCACUGCUUCUGAGGCUGGAGGACCUGCCUGAGGCAGAGGGUGUGGACUUGUUCUGGGAGGACCCAGAAGGCAGAACCACGGAAGGCUACCAAGGGAGGUAGGUUUUGCCUCAAGAUGAACUAUCCAAUAGUCAGGGCAGCUGUGUAGGUAGUGAGUGCCCCACCUGGGGAGGUAGUCAAGGACAGGCAGGGAUAGAGAGUGGUGUGUCUAGGAGUACAGAGCCAUGCCUCAGGAGAAGAAGUGGCUGAAGACACUUUGAGGUCUUUUGAAACUCUGGGAAUUUCCAUAUCUAACAUUACUGACCAGCCCAUGUGGGACUGAGGGGAUAAAUUAAGGAAGGGAAGGGGCAGGUUAUGAUGGCCAGACUGGGAACCACAGACCCCCAGGGAGACAGAAGCAGGCUCCUAGCCCUUGGUCUUCCAACAAAACUACUGUUUCUCUCUCUCCCCUCCCUUCCUUUCUUCCUUCCUUCUUUCCUUCCUUCUCUCUCUCAUCACCCUCUCCUUCCCUCCUUCCCUCUCUCCCUUCCUCCCCCACUCCCUCCCUGUCUCUCUUUCCUUUUCUUUUCUUUCUUCCGACAGGGUCUUGCUCUGUCGCCCAGGCUGGAGUGCAGUUGUGUGGUCACAGCUCACUGCAGCCUCAACCACCCAGGCUCAAGCAAUCCUCCCACCUCAGCCUCCUGAGUAGCCGUGGUGAGACUACAGGUGCACUCCAUCAUGACUGGCUAAUUUUUGUAUUUUUUGUAGAGACAGGGUUUUGCCAUGUUGCCCAGGCUGGUCUCAAACUCUUGGGCUCAAAUCUUCCUUCCACCUUGGCCUCCCAAAGUGCCGGGAUUACAGGUGUGAACCACCACACCUGGCCUCACUCUCAUGACCCCUCAUGGGGUCUUGCCAUGUUACCCAGGCAGGUCUUGAACACAAGCGAUCCUCCUGACUCAGCCUCCCUAAGUGUUGGAAUUGCAGACCUGAGCCACCGUGCCCGGCGCACUAUUGUUUCUUGAAAUUCAAAUACGCUUCUUUCUUUUUCAGUCAUUUGUAAAUGUCUGGUAACCUUUCAUAAUGUUAUUAAUAAUAAUAUUUCUAAUAACUGGUAAUCAAUAACUGUACUCUCUGUAGCAUUAACUGCAUGCUUACUGAGAAAGGAUGUACUCUAGUCCAGGCAUGGUGGCUCACGCCUGUCAUUCCAGCACUUUGGGAGGCCGAGGUGGGUGGAUCACUUGAGGUCAGGAGUUUGAGACCAGCCUGGUCAACAUGGUGAAACCCCAUCUCUACUAAAAAUAUAAAAAUUAGCCGAGUGUGGUGGCACGUGCCUAUAAUCUCAGCUAUUCGAGAGGAUGAGGCAUGAGAAUCGCUUGAACGUGAGACGCGGAGGUUUCAGUGAGCUGAGAUCAUGCCACUGCACUCCAGCCUGGGUGACAGAGCCAGAAGCUGUCUCAAAAACAACAACAACAAAAACAAAAACAACAAAGAAAGGAAGGAAAGGAGAGGGAGAGGAAAAAGGAAAGAAAGGCUAUAUUCUAAGUGCUUAUGUGUAUAAAUGUGUGUAAUUGACAUGGCAGUCCUAUGAGAAGGGUGUUUAUUUGUGCUAUCACUCUUGUUUUAGAGAUGAGGACACUGAGGCUCAGAGGGCUGACAUGCCAAGCCCCAGGGCACAGGAAGGCAGGCCUCUGCUUCCACCUCACAUCCCCCAGUGCCUCUGGAAACCGCAGCCUGUGGAGGGCCUGAGGUCGCUUAUCACCUGUCUCUGCAGCUCAUCCUCAGCAAAGACUGAGGGUCCUUGAUGCUGUCCGGGUCCUUGAUGCUGUCCCCAUCUUUAUGCCAGGUCUCAUCUCAGAGGCAGGCUCAGGAAGGGAGCUGGGAGAUGCCGGCAGAGGGCCCAGGAGAGGCACACUGCCCACCAGCUAGGAGCUGCUUCUGACCUCGCUGGCCGAUGGCCGGGGACCCUGGCCCCUCCCAACCCCAGGGACACAAAGCAGAAGAUCCCAGAAUGGGGAUGGGGAGAGAGGACCAUCUUGUUCAACUUCCUCAUUCUAUACCAGGAAAACAGGCAUCGGAGAAGGGAAGAGAUACCUCAAGGUCAACGCCAAGUCCAGCAGCUGCUGCUCUCCUGAGUCCUCCACGUGGACUUCUUCUGCGUUCCCACAUCUCAUUCCUCCAAUUUUUUUUUAAAAAUUGUUAGUAGUAGCAUAAUACUAAGAAAGCACUAUUCAAAGGAACAAGAAGACCCACCGUGUGCGGAACGGUCACUGUGCACCAGGCAACGUGACCCGCAAUUUUCUCUCCUAUAAAACGGGGAUGAGAACAGGGCCUCCCCUGCUGACUCAUGGGAAGAGGUUAAGAUCAAAGGUGACAGUGGACAUGAAUCAGCAUUUUAUAAACCACAAGACAUUGUC
rnacentral:lncRNA from 1 species